rnacentral:misc_RNA from 1 species
UGUAUUUCCUCUGAAAGAAAUGGUUAGAGAUAAUAAGCUUAGAGAUGCUUUCAAUGAAAACGGCAUUUGACUGUAGCUGGUCUGCUUGAAUUCUGGAUAUUCUUCUUCAUUUUCCUGGAUAUCCCCCCUUUUAAAGCAAAGGAAUAAACAUGAUUUACUUGCUCAUACCAGCUCAAGCUAGUCUCUUGGGUUUGAGUUAAAAUGAAUAGGUUAUCAUUCUCGCUCAUGCACAUGGCUUUCAGUUUUCG